rnacentral:rRNA from 1 species
UUUCCGGUUAUCCGGAUUCUGGGCGUAAGCGCGCGUAGGCGGUUUGUUAAGUCAGAUGUGAAAUCUCGGGCUCAACCUGGGAAUGGCAUUUGAGACUGGCAGGCUAGAGUGUGGUAGAGGUGAGUGGAAUUUCAGGUGUAGCGGUGAAAUGCGUAGAGAUCUGAAGGAACAUCAGUGGCGAAGGCGACUCACUGGGCCAUUACUGACGCUGAGGUGCGAAAGCGUGGGUAGCAAACAGGAUUAGAUACCCUGGUAGUCCACGCCCUAAACGAUGUCAACUAGGUGUAUGGAGAAUUUAUUCUUUGUGUAUCGAAGCUAACGCGAUAAGUUGACCGCCUGGGGAGUACGGUCGCAAGACUAAAACUCAAAUGAAUUGACGGGGGCCCGCACAAGCGGUGGAGCAUGUGGUUUAAUUCGAUGCAACGCGAAGAACCUUACCUGGCCUUGACAUGUACGGAAGAUUGAAGAGAUUCGAUUGUGCCUUCGGGAACCGUAACACA